rnacentral:rRNA from 1 species
AUUGAACGCUGGCGGCAUGCCUCACACAUGCAAGUCGAACGGUAACGCGGGGCAACCUGGCGACGAGUGGCGAACGGGUGAGUAAUGUAUCGGAACGUGCCCAGUUGUGGGGGAUAACUGCCCGAAAGAGCAGCUAAUACCGCAUACGACCUGAGGGUGAAAGCGGGGGAUCGAAGGACCUCGCGCAAUUGGAGCGGCCGAUAUCAGAUUAGGUAGUAGGUGGGGUAAAGGCUCACCAAGCCAACGAUCUGUAGCUGGUCUGAGAGGACGACCAGCCACACUGGGACUGAGACACGGCCCAGACUCCUACGGGAGGCAGCAGUGGGGAAUUUUGGACAAUGGACGCAAGUCUGAUCCAGCCAUGCCGCGUGCGGGAAGAAGGCCUUCGGGUUGUAAACCGCUUUUGUCAGGGAAGAAACGCUCUGGGUUAAUACCUCGGGGUAAUGACGGUAUCUGAAGAAUAAGCACCGGCUAACUACGUGCCAGCAGCCGCCGUAAUAC